GGGGGGGUCUCCGUCUACAGACAACAUACAAGAUUAACACAUCAUCACUUUAAGAUUUGGAGCCAUGGCACGUUGUGUUUCAUAGCGGUAGAGGGGCCUCAGUCCUCAACGCAGCUGUCCUGGGUUCGAGUCCCGACCCGGAGACCUCUCCUGCAUGUUUUCCUCCUUUCUUCCUGUCUGCUUACUCUGAAAAAAUAAAAGGUAACUAAUGCCACAAAACAAAAAUAAGGAGGUUUGGAGCCAGCAGCACAGGUGAGACACAGGUCAGGUCACAGAGCUUGCUGCACUGCACUGCACGAGUCUGAGUGCAGGACUGCACAAAAAAGGCAGCAAGAAGCCUAUCUGAUCAAGAAGUCAAUCAAGGACAGAACGAAAUCCAGCAUGUAAGUAAGAAGACUGGUGCAGCGUUAUUUUCUCAGAUGAAUCCUCCUUCUGAUUGGGACAUUUGUGGUGCCAACAGCUAACCAUCCUCCUGAUCCAAACCAUGUGGGGAGUUUAUUCCCCUUCCAAGAACUCUUCCAAUUAUAUAGAGUGAGACCAAAUAUCCUCCCAAUGAAGUGGCUCAAAGAUUGGAAAAUUAAAAUUGUGGACUUGUGGUCAGAAAAAUGCCCAGAUCUUACCCCCACUGAGAACCUGUGGUCUCAAAAAUCAAGUGGAAAAACAGAAGCCAAACUGGGAUCAACUUUAACCACCAGAAGACAAGAAUAGAAAUGAUAAGCAGGGAGUUGGAAGAUGUUGAUCACAUUGGGGAAGUCUCCUGGAGGUCUGUAGGAGAAAGUGACGAUCUCCAAGCAGCAGGCCAGCAGAGAGCGGUGAAAGAUGUCUUGCUCAAGAAUACACUACAGCACACACAGUAGGGAGACAGGAAAGAGGGGCAAAGAGAGAGGGAGAUAUUCGGCAAAGAUCGCCAAGUCGGGUACUCAAACCCAGGACAGCCACACCAAGGACGAUAUCCUCUGCACAUGGUCGCGCGGUUCACCCCUACACCACCAGCGCCGCAUCUAUGUCUACCUUACCUUGAACAUUGAAUUAUCCUGGUGAGAAAUCAUAAUUUUUUUAAAUUAUCACAGGUGUACCUCAGUUCUUGGCCCACUGUUUAGAUUAAAUGAUUCGUGUCCUUAUGCAAAGUUGCAAGUGUAUGCUGAUGAUAUAGUUAUAUAGUUGGUAAAAACACGAGUCUCAACACAGCCAUUAAAAUAUUUAGUCUUCUGCAGUAUAGUUUGAAAGUCUGUGUCUUAUAUUAAAUGUGUCAAUUUGCUUUUCUUUAAGAGUCAUGCUGAAUAUUUAUUUAAAGUUGUAAAAAAUAUUAGGAUAUUAAACAAAGUUUUAACAAUGGCUAUUGUCCCCUGCUGAGAUGACUGAUUUCACUGAGCUUUCAGCCAAAAUUUCUCCUUU